rnacentral:rRNA from 1 species
UACGUAGGUCCCGAGCGUUGUCCGGAUUUAUUGGGUUUAAAGGGUGCGUAGGCGGAUUGAUAAGUUAGAGGUGAAAUGUCCGAGCUCAACUCGGGAACUGCCUCUAAUACUGUUGAUCUAGAGAGUAGAUGCGGUAGGCGGAAUGUAUGGUGUAGCGGUGAAAUGCUUAGAGAUCAUACAGAACACCGAUUGCGAAGGCAGCUUACCAAUCUAUAUCUGACGUUGAGGCACGAAAGCGUGGGGAGCAGACAGG